GAUGAAGAACGUAGUGAAAUGCGAUAAGUAAUGCGAAUUGCAGAAUCCGUGAAUCAUCGAAUCUUUGAACGCACAUUGCGCCCCCUGGUAUUCCGGGGGGCAUGCCUGUCCGAGCGUCAUUACAACCCUCAAGCUCAGCUUGGUGUUGGGCCCCGCCGCCCCGGCGGGCCCUAAAGUCAGUGGCGGUGCCGUCCGGCUCCGAGCGUAGUAAUUCUUCUCGCUCUGGAGGUCCGGUCGUGUGCUCGCCAGCAACCCCCAAAUUUUUUCAGGUUGACCUCGGAUCAGGUAGGGAUACCCGCUGAACUUAAGCAUAUCAAUAAGCGGAGGA
rnacentral:misc_RNA from 1 species